UCUUCGGUGGUGCAGUGGUAACGUUCUUGAAUACAAUUUUUCUCCAAGGUUCGAGUCCUUAUUGGGGAA